UUUCUUCUAUCUUAUCAAUCUCACUUAUUAGUUAUUCAGCUAUAUAAUUUUCUCCUGCAUUAGUAGCAAUUAAGAUUGGUACUAGUAUUCUUAUUCCAUUUCUUAUUAUUCUUCCUUUUAUAUAAUAUUUGUUUUCUGAAUAUUCGUCUGAUAUAUUUUUCCUAAUUCUAGGUAUUAUGUUUAAAUUCCUUCUACUUAUACUUCUAUUAAGAAUAUUUCUUCUUUGUUCUAAAUUAUAAGUUACUAAUUCUAAGUCUUGGUUUUGGUUAGGUAGUAUAUAUAAUUAUUCUUUCCUAGGUAUUU
rnacentral:lncRNA from 1 species